CCUACGGGAGGCAGCAGUAGGGAAUCUUCCACAAUGGGCGAAAGCCUGAUGGAGCAACGCCGCGUGGGUGAAGAAGGUCUUCGGAUCGUAAAACCCUGUUGUUAGAGAAGAAAGUGCGUGAGAGUAACUGUUCACGUUUCGACGGUAUCUAACCAGAAAGCCACGGCUAACUACGUGCCAGCAGCCGCGGUAAUACGUAGGUGGCAAGCGUUAUCCGGAUUUAUUGGGCCUAAAGGGAACGCAGUCGGUCUUUUAAGUCUGAUGUGAAAGCCUUCGGCUUAACCGGAGUAGUGCAUUGGAAACUGGGAGACGUGAGUGCAGAAGAGGAGAGUGGAACUCCAUGUGUAGCGGUGAAAUGCGUAGAUAUAUGGAAGAACACCAGUGGCGAAAGCGGCUCUCUGGUCUGUAACUGACGCUGAGGUUCGAAAGCGUGGGUAGCAAACAGGAUUAGAUACCCUUGAAGUC
rnacentral:rRNA from 1 species